AAAAGAUUAGUACUAAUACCGGGUGUAUGGCUAGCUUGAAACUAGUUGGAGGGGGUUCGAGUCCCCCAUCUUUUA